rnacentral:rRNA from 1 species
UACGAAGGGGGCAAGCGUUGUCCGGAAUCAUUGGGCGUAAAGAGCGUGUAGGCGGCUUGGUAAGUCCGCUGUGAAAGUCCAGGGCUCAACCCUGGAAAGCCGGUGGAAACUGUCAAGCUUGAGUCCGGAAGAGGCGAGUGGAAUUCCUGGUGUAGCGGUGAAAUGCGCAGAUAUCAGGAGGAACACCAAUGGCGAAGGCAGCUCGCUGGGACGGUACUGACGCUGAGACGCGAAAGCGUGGGGAGCAAACAGG